AUCUUUUAGAAUGUCUUUGAUGUUACGGAAUGUUCGGUGAUAUUCUAGAAUGUUCUACAUCCUCCAGAGCGUCACCACCACAGACUGUAUUUACUCAUUCAGCGGGAGAGUCUCUGUGAUGACGCUCGGCUCAAACAGCGUAUCCCCCGGUGAUCUACUCAAUCUCUGUCCUCCCAUAGGCUGUAUCAGGUGUCAAUCAUAGAAAACAUGAACCCCCUAAUAACUUUUAAAAAUGGAGCUGUACAGAAAAAAGAGGACUUGAGCACAAACCAGUCUGACAGUAACUACAUGUCAACAUCACAACCAGGGGGGAGAAACAUUUAUAUUCUGUGUCAUUCAUUUAUAAAGUUUGUCCACAGCUCCAUAAGGAGGCGGGGUUUAGGACCUAUACUGCAGCCCGUCACCAGAGGGCGCUGUUCUCAGAGAGAGGAGGCAGACAGUGUCUAUUCUAGAUACAGUCCAUGGUC